rnacentral:rRNA from 1 species
AUUGAACGCUGGCGGCAUGCCUAACACAUGCAAGUCGAACGGUAACAGGCCCUUCGGGUGCUGACGAGUGGCGGAUGGGUGAGUAAUACUUAGGAAUCUACCCUGUAGUGGGGACGAACCCGGGAAACGUACGGCGUAAUACCGCAUACGCUCUACGGAGGAAAGACGGGGACCGGCAAGGCCUCGCGCUAUUGGAUGAGCCUAAGCCCGACUUAGCUAGUUGGUGGGGUAAGUAGCCUACCAAGGCAAUGAUCGGUAGCUGGUCUGAGAGGACGACCAGCCACACUGGGACUGAGACACGGCCCA